UUUGUGACAGGGGACAUCUGAGGGCUUCCAGUGAUGAGCUGAAGGAUGUGAGUGAAGGAUCUAAGUGAUUUGAAGUGAUUCAAGGUGGUGAGGGAAAGAAUAAAAGUAGGGCUAAUUCUGAUCAGUAGGAAGGAUUUUAAGGAGGGGGUUCGGAAUGAGGCUGUCAGGAUGGGAUGUUUUCCUCACAGCUGGAGGAUGGGUGUGAGGAGGGAGGAGAGUCUUAAAAACAGAGGGAGGAGGCAAAGGAAAUAACAAAAAUAGGGAUAAAUCUGUUUUAUAGGACGGGUUUUAAGAAAGGAUCACUUAAAUGCAAUGAAGACGUCAAGUAUGAAGUGUUUUCCUCACAUCUAAAGGAUGCUGUGGAUGGGUGCUUCCAAUUGGCAGUGUAAGGGAGGAGGAUUUGAAGUACAGAGGAAAAAGGAGGACACCAAGCUACCAUCUGUGCCUGGGGCUGUCGAGCUGUGUUCAGCUCUGCAUCUGAGACACUGCUGUCCUGAAAUGGGGAGGAAUUCUUGUCCUCUGAACAGGGAUGCCCAAAAGGAGCAGGCUGGAAGUCAUUCCAUUUUCUUCCGUUCCUGCAAGUCACGUCAGAAGCUUUAAACCAACUGUGCUUCUCUUUAUCAAGCCCUCUUGUGAAGCAAGGAUGGGAAACUACCAGAAUCCUCACAAGCAAAUGACAUAGGAAAGGAAUUCUCUCCAUAGUGCCAAUUGCAACAAGAAGAUGGCUUGGACUCCCAAAUUCACUGAAUAGCUCCAGAAAACCACCAGUAACUGGGUAACACACUACAUGCAACAAGCUCCAGCAUCUGGAAUGGAAAGCUUCAAUACCUGCACAUCUGAGAGAGCAACCACUGCUAGGCAACAUUUGGGCAGAUGAGAGUUCCUAACAAUGUCCCAUUCAUCCCAUACAACCAAGCAUGACAACUGAACUCUGUGCAGGACCCUACGUUGCCUGUGUUCAACUGCAUCACAUUCCUCUCUGCCCAGCUCUGCCUGUCCAGGUGUCGCUGAAUGGUAGCACAGCCUUCUGCUGUGCCACAGCCACUCCUCACAGCUUCGUACCAUCAGCAAACUCUGAGGGAUCCAGAAGGUUUUGUUGCAUCAGAGAAAGAGAAUCGCUUUCUGAUCAGUGGAAGUAUCAGGCUUCACAGAGGCUGAUGAGCACCUUAUCUCCCUGUUCACACUCAGUGAUGAACUGCUGGCAUUGAGUGGCAAAGGAAAAUGAGGGAUACUGUUACCCUGUAUCAUAGACUGAGCUUGUCAGGGUGAUGCAGAAGGUGUUUCGUAAGCUUAAGAAGUUCCUUACCAUGUGAAUAGGAGCAGGGCCUUCAGUAUUGGAUGGACAGGGCAUGGCUGUGUUGUGGGUGUUGUGUUUUUGGUGGCUCAGCUCCCAUUCUUUGUUGCGCUGCUCGCUGCUCUCCCGUUCCUGCUUGUAUAAGGCCGCAGUAACUGGAGCAGUUUGCUUUCUGAGGUGGAAACAGCCCUGCCAGAACUUUCACUGCUGAGGGAAAGCUCAAAGGAAUCAGAAAGAGCCAAAAAGGAUGGGAGAAAACAGGAAAGGAUGUGGUGGUGUGGUUCAGAAACGCUCUGCAGACUUUCUAAGUAGAGCAGUUCUGAAUGAGGGUUGGAGGUAAUAAAAGAAAUCAUGAAUGAAAAAUGAUAAAUAAUACAAAAAUUCAUAUUUUUUCUAUGUUAAUAGAAAAAAAGAUGAUGUUUAAUUUUUAUUAACAAACCACGUGGCAUGAAAGAAGCAAUCAUAAUUAUCUCCUUUUAGCAAAAACAACUGGCAAGAUACAUUUUUCUAACUACUCAGGGUGGAAAGAAGUAGCACUAAUGACAACUGUGUCAGCAAUAUUAGAUUGAGCACUCUGAAAUCCCGUGAACUCAGCUGUUGGUUUUCAUAAACACGUUUGAACCUGGCUAAGAAAAACAAGCUGCUGUUUGCACAUGCAAGGCUUUAGAUAAAUAAUUAAGGGAAGUUUGUGCAAACUGGGAGGAUAAUAAGCCUGACCUCAUACAGUCACUGCUGUAGUUACAGUUUGAUAUAUAGAGUGCACCAGCUCUGGCAGCUGGCAGGCCAGCACUUCUCACUGUCAUUAUAAGCUGCUCCAUAAGCUGUGGAAUUAAUGACAUCCUUCCCUUAGGGCAACUGGGGGCCUUGGCUGGGACCUUAAUGGGGUCUCCCCCUCCCCACCCAGCUGUCAACUUUCACAACUCUUCAAGGGAACUUAGGGAAUGUCUUUGAGGCCUUUCAUCCUUUGCUCGACUUUGCAUGACGUUGGCUAACCAGUUCAUAAGCUGCUUGUAAGGUCUUUGCCCAUUCUGUCCCUAGGAAAUGAGGCUAAAAACAGAAGGAGAAGAAUCUUCAGGCAGUAAAGAAGACAGCUUGCAAACAGCAAAACUUUCUGCAGCCACCUGUAGGUUGAAGAAAAAGCUCUGCAUGAUGUUUGCAACAGAAACUGAGCACGCAGCCGUUCCUGGAACCAACAGCUGUGUUCGGGGAUGCUGCCACCCCACAGCCCCACCUGCCAGCUCUGCGCCACGGCUGUCGGUGUCCCCGUACUCGAACUCCACGGUGGGGAAAUCCACAGAGCCCUGCGUGUUUGGAAGUGGUCUGCAGACCCCCCCCCUCCCCAUCGCCACCCCGCUUCCCCCAUUUCCCGCAGCGGGAGCGGAACUGGAGCGUGAAACCCCAGGGAGGGAACGCUUGAAUGGGUCGUGGAUGGCACUUCCAUCGCUCUCCUCUGGCUGUGGGGCGGAGCGAGGUGCAUCGGCCCCAUUCCUAUGGGUACCCCCGAGAUGCGCAGCACGGGGCUGAGCGCUCUGCACCAAAACUCCGCUUUUUUCGCCCCGUUUUUGCAGCCCAGGGCUGCGGAUCCCCUUCGGGAUCCUAAAUCCCAGAAGGAAUUCGGGACUAAUCGGAUCAGGGGGGCCACGAAGGGGGGAGUGAAGCCCCGGCGCACCCAGCACAGGAGCCCGCUGUGGGUCAUGGCUGCUCCGCAGCGAUGG